ensembl:lncRNA
CAUGAUCAUUGAGUGAAACAAAAACAAGAAAGUAAUACUAGACAUACAGUAUUGACAACUUCUACAGUGAUGAAUGUCAUUGUGGUGGGGGUGGAAUACACAUAGAGGGAGUAGAAGGGGGAGGGCAGCAGGAGAAAGAAUGUCCAUGGGAGGAGUAGGAGGAGGGAGCAGCAGGAGAAAGAAUGUCCAUGGGGGAGUAGGAGGAGGGAGCAGCAGGAGAAAGAAUGUCCAUAGGGGUAGUAGGAGGAGGGAGCAGCAGGAGAAAGAAUGUCCAUAGGGGGAGUAGAAGGAGGGAGCAGCAGGAGAAAGAAUGUCCAUGGGGGAGUAGAAGGAGGGAGCAGCAGGAGAAAGAAUGUCCAUGGGGGAGUAGAAGGAGGGAGCAGAAGGGGGAGGGAGCAGCAGGAGAAAGAAUGUCCAUGGGGGAGUAGAAGGAGGGAGCAGCAGGAGAAAGAAUGUCCAUGGGAGGAGUAGGAGGAGGGAGCAGCAGGAGAAAGAAUGUCCAUGGGGGAGUAGAAGGAGGGAGCAGCAGGAGAAAGAAUGUCCAUGGGAGGAGUAGGAGGAGGGAGCAGCAGGAGAAAGAAUGUCCAUGGGGGAGUAGAAGGAGGGAGCAGCAGGAGAAAGAAUGUCCAUGGGAGGAGUAGGAGGAGGGAGCAGCAGGAGAAAGAAUGUCCAUAGGGGGAGUAGAAGGAGGGAGCAGAAUGGGGGGAGCAGCAGGAGAAAGAAUGUCCAUAGGGGGAGUAGAAGGAGGGAGCAGCAGGAGAAAGAAUGUCCAUAGGGGGAGUAGAAGGAGGGAGCAGAAGGGGGAGCAGCAGGAGAAAGAAUGUCCAUAGGGGGAGUAGAAGGAGGGAGCAGCAGGAGAAAGAAUGUCCAUAGGGGGAGUAGAAGGAGGGAGCAGCAGGAGGAAGAAUGUCCAUGGGGGAGUAGGGAGGAGGAGGGAGCAGCAGGAGAAAGAAUAUCC